GAGUUUGAUCUUGGCUCAGGACGAACGCUGGCGGCGUGCAUAACACAUGCAAGUCAAGGGGGCCCGCAAGGGCAACCGGCGAACGGGUGCGUAACACGUGAGCAACCUACCUCUGUGUGGGGCAUAGCCGGCCUAACGGCCGGGUAAUUCCGCAUACGAUCCUUGGGAGACAUCUCCUGGGGAUGAAACGCUUCGGCGGCACAGAGAGGGGCUCGCGGCCUAUCAGCUAGUUGGUGAGGGUAACGGCCCACCAAGGCGACGACGGGUAGCUGGUCUGAGAGGAUGGCCAGCCACAUUGGGACUGAGAUACGGCCCAGACUCCUACGGGAGGCAGCAGUGGGGAAUAUUGCGCAAUGGCCUAACGGCUGACGCAGCGACGCCGCGUGAGGGAUGAAGCUUCUCGAAGUGUAAACCUCUGUUGCUCGGGACGAAUGGCGGCUUUUGCCGACGUGACGGUACCGAGUGAGGAAGCACCGGCUAACUCCGUGCCAGC
rnacentral:rRNA from 1 species